rnacentral:rRNA from 1 species
CCCUGCCCUUUGUACACACCGCCCGUCGCUACUACCGAUUGAAUGGCUCAGUGAGGCCUCCGGACUGGCCCAGGGAGGUCGGCAACGACCACCCAGGGCCGGAAAGCUGUCCAAACUCGGUCAUUUAGAGG